UUAGGAUAAAUCUGCCGAAUUUACGAGGGAUAGAGGAGCAUAAAUACGAGGCGGAAAACUGUGCUAAAACUAGAUCAAACAACCGUGUCCCCGUGUUAUUUGUUUUAUAUGAUGUAUAUACACAGACAGAAAUCUCCCUCUCCAAAACAAGUUUUCGCGCGAAAGAGAUUGGCUACGACGCAAAGCAACGAAAAAAUAAAGUAUCGGAAGAAGAGGGAGGUGAUUAUUCGAAAAGCGCAUCGUCGGCGGCGCGAUAAGGGGAGGAUUACACGGUGGAUAUUGCGCGACCAAUAUUUUACCGGUCCCGUUGCCCGCCCGAUUUCGCAUGCAAAACGCUCCUUUUGCCUCCGUUCGAAGAGAGUCGCCCGUCGCUUCGAAGCGCGUUCGAUCGAGGGAGGGAGAGAGAGAGGACACGUGGCCCGAUUCGACGGGGGGUGCGAUGCGUGGCGCAACAACGGUGGAGGAAACUGGUUCAGAGCGAGAGAACACGCGUUAUUUCACCCUCCCUUCCUGGUAAUAGGCACAAUUUCCCGUGUACAAUGUGCACGUGCGCUGUUAAGGGGGUUGAAUAAAUUUCAGCGGUGUAAAUAUUGACACGCCCCAGUCCUGAGUUUUCUCGUCGGCCGUGUUCUUGUAACAACUCUUGUAAGAUGUUGGAGGGGAAGGAGGAAACGCAAAAAUCCUCGUGUAUCGUAAAAAGUACCGUUCUCUUAGCUUCAGAAUAGUGCAAGAGUUGUAAUUUGAAUAUUAAAAAUCGUAAAAAUUAUUUUCAUUUAUCAAGUCAAGAAAUUAUUUUGAAUAUGAAGUUACAAUUAUAAAUUAAAUUAAUAAAUUUAACAGGUGUAAAUGAAUAAUUCUAAAAAGAGAAAUUGUAACAUAAAUAUCCUUAUUGUACAAAAUACCAUUCUCUUAGCUUCAGAUACAAGAGAAAUUAAUAUUUUCGAAAUUAAUUACUAUCUUGAAUAUUAAGUUACAAUUAUAAAUUAAACAAUAAUAAAUUUCAGGUGUAAAUAAUGAAUAAUUCUAAGAAGAGGAAUUGUAUCAUAAAAAUCCUCGUUAUUGAACAAAAUACUAUCUUAGCUUCAGUAAUGGAAAAGUUAUAAUUUGAAUAUUGAAAAUCGUAAAAAUUAUUUUCGUUCAUCAAAUUACUGAAAUUAAUUAUUAUCUUGAAUGUGAAGUUACAAUUAUAAAUUAAACUAAUAAAUUUCAGAUGUAAAUAUUGACUAAAAAGAGGAAUUGUAACAUAAAAAUCCUCGUUAUUGAACAAAGUAUCGUUCUCUUAGCUUCAGACGCUUUCCUGAUAGUAAUGGAAGAGUAGUUUAAAUAUACAAAACUGAUUAUUUCGAUAUAAUAUCAAUAUACCUAUAAUGCAUCUAGCUUAUUCGUAUAUAUACAAUUAUUAACAAAAUUUUUAGAAUAUUUUAAAUUCUAAUACCUACGCUAAUGGAUCGAGGUUACAGAUGCAGAUAAUCGUUUUGUAUAUGCGACAAAUAUCACUUUCAAGUGAAUAAAAUGGCGAUCCUUUUCUCGGAAGGGACAAAUAACGAAAUGCAAACGAUUCUUCAAAUCCUCGAAACGCGUUCAAUAAUAAUUAUAAAAAUUACCAGGGUCUCCCUCCAUUUUUGGAAGAAUGCCGCUCGAUAAAAUUAUCAUUUUCAUUGCGGGCGUCGAAUUUAUUAUUCUCGUCGACUACGCGUAUCAUUGCAAUCCAAACCCGUAAUGAUUUCGAUUCGUGUCCUUGGCGAUAAUCCAGUUCAUAUAUAUACCGUAUACACCUAUCGUAAAUAUCCAUACACAUAUAUUCCUAUAAACUUAAAAUCGAAAACGAGGAAUAAUAAAUAAAAA